UGUCCAGACUCCUACGGGAGGCAGCAGUGGGGAAUAUUGGGCAAUGGGCGCAAGCCUGACCCAGCAACGCCGCGUGAAGGAAGAAGGCUUUCGGGUUGUAAACUUCUUUUCUCAGGGACGAAUAGGUGACGGUACCUGAGGAAUAAGCCACGGCUAACUACGUGCCAGCAGCCGCGGUAAUACGGAGGAUGCGAGCGUUAUCCGGAUUUAUUGGGUUUAAAGGGUGCGCAGGCGGCACGGCAAGCCGGCGGUCAAAUCGCGGGGCUCAACCCCGCCCAGCCGUCGGAACUGCCGGGCUAGAGUGGGCGAGAAGUGCGCGGAAUGCGUGGUGUAGCGGUGAAAUGCAUAGAUAUCACGCAGAACUCCGAUUGCGAAGGCAGCAUACCGGCGCCCAACUGACGCUGAAGCACGAAAGCGUGGGUAUCGAACAGGAUUAGAUACCCGGGUACAU
rnacentral:rRNA from 1 species